ACGGGUGAGUAAUGUCUGGGGAUCUGCCCGAUAGAGGGGGAUAACCACUGGAAACGGUGGCUAAUACCGCAUAACGUCGCAAGACCAAAGAGGGGGACCUUCGGGCCUCUCACUAUCGGAUGAACCCAGAUGGGAUUAGCUAGUAGGCGGGGUAAUGGCCCACCUAGGCGACGAUCCCUAGCUGGUCUGAGAGGAUGACCAGCCACACUGGAACUGAGACACGGUCCAGACUCCUACGGGAGGCAGCAGUGGGGAAUAUUGCACAAUGGGCGCAAGCCUGAUGCAGCCAUGCCGCGUGUAUGAAGAAGGCCUUCGGGUUGUAAAGUACUUUCAGCGGGGAGGAAGGCGGCGCGGUUAAUAACCGCGCCGAUUGACGUUACCCGCAGAAGAAGCACCGGCUAACUCCGUGCCAGCAGCCGCGGUAAUACGGAGGGUGCAAGCGUUAAUCGGAAUUACUGGGCGUAAAGCGCACGCAGGCGGUCUGUUAAGUCAGAUGUGAAAUCCCCGGGCUUAACCUGGGAACUGCAUUUGAAACUGGCAGGCUUGAGUCUUGUAGAGGGGGGUAGAAUUCCAGGUGUAGC
rnacentral:rRNA from 1 species